UGUAAACAUCCCCGAC
rnacentral:miRNA from 1 species